AUUGAACGCUGGCGGCAGGCCUAACACAUGCAAGUCGAGCGAGCGGCGGACGGGUGAGUAAUGUCUGGGAAACUGCCUGAUGGAGGGGGAUAACUACUGGAAACGGUAGCUAAUACCGCAUACCAUCAGAUGUGCCCAGAUGGGAUUAGCUAGUAGGUGGGGUAAUGACUCACCUAGGCGACGAUCCCUAGCUGGUCUGAGAGGAUGACCAGACACACUGUAACUGAGAGACGGUCCAGGCUCCUACGGGAGGCAGCAGUGGGGAAUAUUGCACAAUGGGGGCAAGCCUGAUGCAGCCAUGCCACUUGUGUGAAGAGGGCCUUCAGGUUGUAAGGCACUUUCAGCGAGGGGGCGUUACUCGCAGAAGAAGCACCGGCUAACUCCGUGCCAGCAGCCGGGGUAAUAC
rnacentral:rRNA from 1 species